rnacentral:rRNA from 1 species
UCAGCCACACUGGGACUGAGACACGGCCCAGACUUCUACGGGAGGCAGCAGUAGGGAAUAUUGGACAAUGGGCGAAAGCCUGAUCCAGCAAUGCCGCGUGAGUGAUGAAGGCCUUAGGGUUGUAAAGCUCUUUUACCCGAGAUGAUAAUGACAGUAUCGGAGAUAGUGCAGUU